rnacentral:rRNA from 1 species
GACGAACGCUGGCGGCGUGCCUAAUACAUGCAAGUAGAACGCACAGUUUAUACCGUAGCUUGCUACACCAUAGACUGUGAGUUGCGAACGGGUGAGUAACGCGUAGGUAACCUGCCUGGUAGCGGGGGAUAACUAUUGGAAACGAUAGCUAAUACCGCAUAAUAUUAAUUAUUGCAUGAUAAUUGAUUGAAAGAUGCAACUGCAUCACUACCAGAUGGACCUGCGUUGUAUUAGCUAGUAGGUGAGGUAACGGCUCACCUAGGCGACGAUACAUAGCCGACCUGAGAGGGUGAUCGGCCACACUGGGACUGAGACACGGCCCAGACUCCUACGGGAGGCAGCAGUAGGGAAUCUUCGGCAAUGGACGAAAGUCUGACCGAGCAACGCCGCGUGAGUGAAGAAGGUUUUCGGAUCGUAAAGCUCUGUUGUAAGAGAAGAACGGGUGCGAGAGUGGAAAGUUCACACUGUGACGGUAUCUUACCAGAAAGGGACGGCUAACUACGUG